GACGGGCCACGGCCCCGACCGCCGCAGCAGCACGCCCCCGACGGCCGAACGACAACAGCAGCACGCCCCCGACUGCCCACUCUGACGACGAUUCAUGCGGUCCAGAUGUUGCUAACUGAAUCCUUCGGCCAGGCAUCUUGCUCUCUUAUUUUUCUUCAUACAGGGCCGAUCAAUUGUCAUGGUGUCCUUAAGCACAAUUCACAAGCUUCCCCGUUAUCUCUGGGUUAUAGAUUUGUUGCACUCAAUGGAAACUGGGAGCAUUACUCUCCUUGACUGGAAUCAGUGGCCAGAUUAUAGAUCACACAGGCUGUUGGUGAGCUUUUCCUUUUGAUUUAUAUAUCUCUGGGUUAUAGAUCAUCUCCUACUUGCUAGAAUUUAUUUUCUGUGCCUCUGAUAACUCCAUGUUCUGUUUGUUUUAUUGGCAUGAAAAUUACUUUGAAAAUAUACCUUCUGAUCUACAAUGGUAUGUUAUCAAAGUUUUUGUCUGAAUAUUGUGUCCGAGCAAGCACUAUGGGACAUCAAUCUUUGCAGAUCCAGUCAUGUCAACAUACCCAUAGGAUGCCUUUGAAUUUUAUCUGUGCCAGCAGACCAUACAGAUCUAAUUUUGUAGGUUCGGUGAUACAUCUGCUCUCAUGUCAUGCAAAACAGCAACCUUCUCCUUCUUUAUAUUGUGAUUUUAAAAAUUAGCAUUGGUUUGAGGAACCCCUGGAAUAAUUGAAGUGGGGUUAAAGGGAGAAGUUCGUUGUCUGACCAGUUCUGAAUAUUUCACAGCCGAAUGGCCUUUAGAAUUCAUGCAUUUUUACUACCUCCUCCAAAUUUGCUAGUGUAGUAAUAAGUUAAAAGGAGCUACUAUCUGUUCUUGAGGUUAGCAUAGCAAGAUUAACUGGUGGAUGACCGGAUGCUUAUUUCCUCUUGCUUGCUAUAUGUCAUGAUUCAUGGCCUCCAUAUGUUCAAAUCACGACUCGGGGGCAUCAGUUAGUGGCGCAUAUACUCCGUCGUUGUGAUUCCUCGAAUGAUGCUCAUUUAGUCAUUUUAUAGAUUUAGAUAUCAAUUUUUAAGCCUUAUGCUCCUUCCAUUUUAGGAUCUGCCAAUUUUCAUUCUACUGUGUGUAGCGCUGCUCACAUGAAACUCAUCACUCAUUUGCACAUAGGUUAAAGAUGGAGAUAAAGACAUGCUUUUGUGACCAAGGGGUGGAAUUCUUUUCAGCUUACAGAAACCUUCUUACCAACAUCGCUUCUUGCCGACGCACCAAUCUUUAAAAACGAACUGAUAGCUACAUGAUUUUACUUUGUUUUCCUUGGUUUAAAUCAUGUAUACAGUGUAGUGUUUGCUUUUUGACAAUUUCUUAUUCACAUGUAUGCUUUCUUUUGCAAGUUCAUUCCCAAUCUCUAAUAGCCAAUUAAUGACUGCAUGAUCUGGUUCUGCUUUAGUGCCCUCAAACUGUACUUUCAGUUAGAUGCCCAUUGAAUAAUGAUUGCUUAAUCUUCCUAUCCUUUUCCUUUGAAAUUGUGCUUCACAAAUAGUAGUCAAACAAGACUACCAUUUACUCAGGCCAUGCUUUCAAUCCCACGCCUAUUGACUAAUGAUUGCUUCUUCAGGCAUGGAAAUCCCUGUGCUGACGGUGCUUGCAAAUAUUUUCAGCCAUGGAAUAUGUGAUGUAAGGUGCAGGGGAGUAUGCGUGUCCCCAUUGGCAGAGAUCCCUGCUUUUGAAAUUUUUCCGUUUAAAAUUCAGAUAUGUCGAGUUAAGUAAAAUUCAGUGGUGAAGAAAGUCUUACGAUGUACAAUUAUUUUAGUGUAAAUCUCCGUUGGAAAAAAAUCAGUUAGUAAAGAAGGAAUACAUCAUCCUUUUUGUUAUAACAAUGUUUAUGAUACUUUGUUGCAGAGAACAAAGGGGUUGUAAGAUAUAUGGCAUAACAUGAUAAAAAACAAUGAAAUCUUAGGUAAAGAGAUAUGCUUGCUGCUCCGGUAUCAAGUGAAGAUCUUGGUUCAAUAUGCUUGUCCAGCGCCUGAAGUAUUUGGAUGAACAAUAUGUCAAUGUCAACCUACAUGAUGAUGACUUUUUCUACGCCGAGCAUUGUGAUCAAGAUGUCAAAGAAAAAAAAUCCCUGUUGUGGUGUGUGCAUUAUGAUUAUCCUUAUACAGUGGGCACAACUACUUGCUGUCCGGAUAAGCUUACUCCUUAAUACUACUCUACAUUUAGGAAUGCAGUGAGUAUGUGGUGUUUUUUUUUCUGAUGUGCAGAGUGGUGCAGUUGGAUAGUUGUUCAAGAUAAUUUUGCCUGAAGUUUUGAUAUAUUUUUAUAUUUUGAUAUAAUGUGAUCUGCCCAAAAAAUAGACAAAUAUGAAAAUUAUAUGGUCAUUGGAUGAUCUGGUUAAUUGCCAUUCAAAGACAUGAGAUCAAAAAAAUGUUUCCUUGAUGUCCACUUUUAAUGAGCUAAUAAUAAUUAUCUUUUGGCCUUGUUUUAGUUGAACCGUGCAUUGCGCAUUGCAUUCGAGGUUAUUAAUUGUUUGGGAUGAACAUUCAAUUUCUUUUCAUGUCAUUCUUGAUGAUUAGUUC